UUAGAUUUGCUAAAUAUAGUAGUAUUGGGACUUUAACUGCUCAAGCUAUCUACUCGAUAUUUAGCAUUCAAGAUAUACUUGAUAGUGAAUUUAAUGGUAAUGUAUCUGAUUACUUCCUGGAUGAGUAUCGUGAGAGGAGGAACUGCUACAAAUAUCAAUACUUUAAUGACACGGGACUGAACGAAGAUAAUAUGAAAGA